rnacentral:rRNA from 1 species
CGAAGUCGGAAUUGCUAGUAAUCGUAGGUCAGCAUACUACGGUGAAUACGUUCCCGGGCCUUGUACACACCGCCCGUCAAACCAUGAGAGUUGGCAACACCCGAAGUCGGUAGUCUAACCGCAAGGAGGACGCCGCCGAAGGUGGGGUUGAUGAUUAGGGUUAAGUCGUAACAAGGUAGC